GACGUAGGGCGCGAGCGUUGUCCGGAUUUAUUGGGCGUAAAGAGCGCGCAGGCGGUUCGUUAAGUCCGAGGUGAAAUCUCCCGGCUCAACUGGGGAGGGUCACGCGAUACUGAUCGACUCGAAGGCAGGAGAGGGAAGUGGAAUUCCCGGUGUAGUGGUGAAAUGCGUAGAUAUCCGGAGGAACACCAGUGGCGAAGGCGACUUUCUGGCCUGUUCUUGACGCUGAGGCGCGAAAAGCUAGGGGAGCAAACGGG
rnacentral:rRNA from 1 species